GCUUGUCUCAAAGAUUAAGCCAUGCAUGUCUAAGUAUAACUCUUUUACUUUGAAAACUGCGAACGGCUCAUUAUAUCAGUUAUAGUUUCUUUGAUAGUCCCUUACUACUUGGAUACCCGUAGUAAUUCUAGAGCUAAUACAUGCAUCAAUACCCAACUGUUCGCGGAAGGGUAGUAUUUAUUAGGUAUAGACCAACCCUCUUCGGAGGUGCUUUGGUGAUUCAUAAUAACUUUUCGAAUCGCAUGGCCUUGUGCUGGCGAUGGUUCAUUCAAAUUUCUGCCCUAUCAACUUUCGAUGGUAGGAUAGUGGCCUACCAUGGUUUCAACGGGUAACGGGGAAUAAGGGUUCGAUUCCGGAGAGGGAGCCUGAGAAACGGCUACCACAUCCAAGGAAGGCAGCAGG
rnacentral:rRNA from 1 species